rnacentral:lncRNA from 1 species
GUUUUUGAUGGAUGCAAUACAUCUUAUCGGCAUUAUGUGAGCUUCUGAGAUGGCUGCCUCACUUGGAAGAUUAGAUGCCCAAAAUGUUUGUAUAGCUUAUGCAGCCCUCUGUUAUUAUCAGGUUAUCUUGAAUGAAGAGGAAAGAGUAUACACAAAUAAUAAAAUCAGAGGUAAGCUAGAAGUUCAGUGUAGUUGCCAGAUGUUAAAUUUUAGAUUAUCCUUUGAGCUUCUUCCUAUCUGAAUAUUUUUUCUGAGUAUUUGUUUAGAGAAUGCUGCAGUCUUACAGAACUUAUUCCAAAAGAUUUUUUAAGUAUGGAAAAAGUCAGCAACAGCCAAUAAUUUUUAUGGAGGUAUUGCUCAGUUGGCUUUUCUUCAGCCCAAAUAAGUACACACCUCUGUUUUACUCAGAGGAGGUGCGUGUUUGAAGAGAAGUGGGUGGAUUAAGAUAGCACAUCUUGCACGCCCUCUAACACCCAACACGUCACCGCGUGAUGGGGUGCAGCGUGGACCAACGCUGGAGUUUGGAAAUCAGAUGAAGUGCUGGCAGAAUGCUUGUCU